rnacentral:misc_RNA from 1 species
GAUUUUCUUCCCAGUGAUUGCAACUCGGCUCAAAUGACUUGUUUACUCGCUAGUACUUGUGUCAAAUUUUCUUCAUCUAUUUUCAGAAACACCGCCUGUAUGGAAAAAGUACAUGCUGUCUUUCCUAAAGUAAUGAGUAGAUUUUGGUUCCUGCAGUUGAACUGGUGCAUGUAACAAUAAACUUAUCUCUCAGCCAGUUCCUUUCCUCUGGGUUUGUUUUCAACUUUAAUGAUGAUUCCCUUUUAUGGGCUUUGGCUUCCUCAUACAGGAGGAAUCUCUUUAUUUAUGCUCUUACAUAUGGUUUUUAAUUCACUUGAGAGUAAUGUGUAGAAUCAUUUUAGGCAAUGUACCUUUAGGUGAAUACUAACUCCGCCUAAGUAGUUUGCG